rnacentral:rRNA from 1 species
GAAUUCACUAGUGAUGCAGGCCUAACACAUGCAAGUCGAGCGGUAGAGAGAAGCUUGCUUCUCUUGAAAAAAGCGGACGGGUGAGUAAAGCCUAGGAAUCUGCCUGGUAGUGGGGGAUAACGUUCGGAAACGGACGCUAAUACCGCAUACGUCCUACGGGAGAAAGCAGGGGACCUUCGGGCCUUGCGCUAUCAGAUGAGCCUAGGUCGGAUUAGCUAGUUGGUGAGGUAAUGGCUCGCCAAGUUAUUGAUCCGUAACUGGUCUGAGAGGAGGAUCAGUCACACUGGAACUGAGACACGGUCCAGACUCCUACGGGAGGCAGCAGUGGGGAAUAUUGGACAAUGGGCGAAAGCCUGA